UACGUAGGGCGCGAGCGUUGUCCGGAAUCAUUGGGCGUAAAGAGCUCGUAGGCGGCCGGUUGCGUCUGCUGUGAAAUCCCGGGGCUUAACCCCGGGCGUGCAGUGGAUACGGGCUGGCUGGAGGCAGGCAGGGGAGAAUGGAAUUCCCGGUGUAGCGGUGAAAUGCGUAGAUAUCUGGAGGAACACCGGUGGUGUAAACGGCUUUCUGGACCAUUACUGACGCUGAUGCACGAAAGCGUGGGUAGCAAACAGG
rnacentral:rRNA from 1 species